UCCAGAAAGAGGACUAAUUGAUGCC
rnacentral:piRNA from 1 species